rnacentral:lncRNA from 1 species
UCUAUCUUCAAGCUGCAAUGAAGCUGAGAGCCACAGAAAACACCUGUACCAUGGUUUCAGGGAGGAGUCUCUUCCCUCAGCCCAAAACAGACAGCUUUGCUGGUCAUCUGUUCUCCACUGCCAGGACGCUGCCACUCAGUGUGGAGAGAGGAAGAGGCUCUGCCUAUGGUGCAAGAAGGUCGGACUCGGCAGUUAAUACUCUUGGAUAAUGUAUUUAAGGAUGCUUAAGAAAUUGCAACAGCCACUUCAACCUUCAGCAACCACCAAACUGAUCAGUAGUCAUCAACAUUGAGACAAGACUGUACACCAGCAAAAACAUCCCAACUCAGUGAAGGCUCAAAUGAUUUUAGCAUUUUUUUAGCAAUAAAGCAUUUUUAAAUUAAACUAUAUACAUUGCUGUUUUAGACAAUGUUUUUGCACAUUCAGAAUACAGUAAAGCAUAAACAUGACUUUUAUAUACACUGGGGAAACCAAAAAAUUUGUGUGACUUACUUUAUUGCAAUAUUUGUUUUAUUGUGCUGAUCUGGAACUAAAUAUGUCUAAGGUAUGCUUGUACUGAUGAUUAUUUUAACACCAAGAUAUUUUAAAAUUCAUUAAAUAAAUUUUUAUUUAAAUAGA